UGGCACGCUCCAGCUCCGACAGGCUCUGGAUGGGCACCGGCUGCAGACGCACACUCUGACCCAACAUGGUUGCCCACGUGUGGUCUCCCUGCCGAGAGGAGAAGAAAGAGGUUCAGGAUAACGGAGACCAAAGGGAUGUUGACAUCCACACCCAUCGUUAUGAUCACCACCAUCGCCGUCUUCACCCUCCGCAAAACAUCCUCCUCGCAACUUCUCCUGCUGCAACUAUGAGCGUCCAGUGACUCGAUGACUUCCUGCCAAAGGAAGAAGUCUGUUUAUUCUGCGUCGUCUACGAUGACAUCAGCAUUUGAAUUCCAAGAUUCAGUCAGUCUGUGGUUGCUACCGCAUUAAAUCAACUUUGCAUGCUAAAAGAGCAAAGACGUGAGCACUUAGUUGGAAGAAUAUGCCAACGAGUGAUAGGCCAUAUUCUCACAUUGCCAUCACAGAAAGAUGAGAAAUGAGAAUUGCAUCAGCUUUGGGUUUUAUAAUUCAGCCUAGUAUUACAAAUUUCAGCAUGAAUUUGCAUAACUUUACACCUGAUGGCUUUUAAAAAAGAUCUAAUUAGAGGAAGUGAUGUUAGUCUCACUUUAAAACGGAAUAAUUCAAAAGGUUGCUUAUUGUAUCUGUGCAAAUACUAUAAAAAAAAAAAAAAACGACCAAACGCCUACUGCUGUUGAGCAUUAAUAUUUGAAAAAAAAAAAAAAAUGUUCAAAUUGAACCACUGCAAAUUGUCGACGCCAUUGAUCUUGUUUGGGUUUAUUUGUUCUUGUCUCAUUAGACAAGUUUUCACAACUUUUAUUCCCCACCAGUCAUAGUUGUGAAAUCCCCCAGAGCACAGAGAGACAGGACUCAGGCUGUAUGACAUAAUCACCAUCUGCUUUUGUGGCUGCAUCGCAUAGUGUUGGUUUGAUGUUGCGGAUCUGGACUGUAGCGUGCAUGUAUACAGCAGUAUGUUUUAUUCCUGCCAAACACAAGCA